rnacentral:rRNA from 1 species
CCUACGGGGCGCAGCAGUGGGGAAUAUUGGGCAAUGUUCUCAAUCCUUACCCCGCCACGCCUCGUGAAGGAAGAAGGCUUUCGGGUUGUAAACUUCUUUUGUCAGGGACGAAGCAAGUGACGGUACCUGACGAAUAAGCCACGGCUAACUACGUGCCAGCAGCCGCGGUAAUACGUAGGUGGCAAGCGUUAUCCGGAUUUACUGGGUGUAAAGGGCGUGUAGGCGGGACUGCAAGUCAGAUGUGAAAACCACGGGCUCAACCUGUGGCCUGCAUUUGAAACUGUAGUUCUUGAGUACUGGAGAGGCAGACGGAAUUCCUAGUGUAGCGAUGAAAUGCGUAGAUAUUAGGAGGAACACCAGUGGCGAAGGCGGUCUGCUGGACAGCAACUGACGCUGAGGCGCGAAAGCGUGGGGAGCAAACAGGAUUAGAUACCCGGGUAGUC